GUCAGCACAAAAUGAUGCCGUUUCGACACCUGGGUUCCAAAGACUAAACGGCUCCGUUUUAUUUGUUAUUAAAACUAAAAAAAAAAAUCCAUUUGAAUGGCAAUCUGCCAUUUUCUACAAGAAACUAAACAAAUCCCUAACACCCCCAUUUUUUUUAUCCCUUUUGCUAGGGUUUUGGCCUCAACCUAGGGGCGAUGAUUAAACGUCGCCGCACCACCAUCAAACUUGGUGGCCGACCACGCGCAGAAGGGGAUAGUUCCUACGAUGAGAGGCUAGAGUUUGUUGUAGGCGUGUCCAACUAGAGGACCAACGUGGAGGGCAUGGAGGCGCGGAGAAAGCCGUGCAUGCGAGCUGCGGUGUGAGGGUUUCCAGGACCUCCUAGUGCGUUGGGCCAAGCGGGCCUAUUUUAUUUUGGGCUGUAAUUUUAAUUAUUUUUGGGUCUUAGGGUUUAAUUGUUAGGGUCAUCAGUUGGGUUUAGAGUCUAGGCCAAUUGAUUUGGGUUUUAUUUUGGGUUUCAAUUUGGGUCUCGAGUUUGGGCUAUUGGUUUGUAAUGAUGGACUAUGUACUUUUAUUAUUUUGGUUUUAUUAAUAUUUUUUGUUUUUUAUAA